rnacentral:rRNA from 1 species
ACAGCAGCCGCCGCGGUAAGACAGAGGAUGCAAGCGUUAUCCAGAAUGAUUGGGCGUAAAGCGUCUGUAGGUGGCUUUUCAAGUCCGCCGUCAAAUCCCAAGGCUCAACCCUGGACAGGCGGUGGAAACUACCAAGCUGGAGUACAGUAAGGGCAGAGGGAAUUUCCGGUGGAGUGGUGAAAUGCGUUGAGAUCGGAAAGAACACCAACGGCGAAAGCACUCUGCUGGGCCGACAUUGACACUAAGAGACGACAGCUAGGGGAGCAAAUGGGAUUAGAUACCCCUGUAGUCCCUGUCUCUUAUAC